rnacentral:rRNA from 1 species
GACAGAGGGUGCAAACGUUGUUCGGAUUUACUGGGCGUAAAGCGCGUGUAGGCGGCUUUGCAAGUCGGAUGUGAAAGCCCACGGCUCAACCGUGGAAGUGCAUCCGAAACUGCAUGGCUGGAGUCUCGGAGAGGAAGGUGAAAUGCUUGGUGUAGAGGUGAAAUUCGUAGAUAUCAAGCAGAACACCUGCGGCGAAGGCGGCCUUCUGGACGAUGACUGACGCUGAGACGCGAAAGCGUGGGGAGCAAACAGG